rnacentral:rRNA from 1 species
UUAGGAAUCUUGGACAAUGGGCGCAAGCCUGAUCCAGCCAUGCCGCGUGAGUGAUGAAGGCCCUAGGGUUGUAAAGCUCUUUCAGCGGGGAAGAUAAUGACGGUACCCGCAGAAGAAGCCCCGGCUAACUUCGUGCCAGCAGCCGCGGUAAUACGAAGGGGGCUAGCGUUGCUCGGAAUCACUGGGCGUAAAGCGCACGUAGGCGGCUUUCUAAGUCAGGGGUGAAAUCCCGGAGCUCAACUCCGGAACUGCCUUUGAUACUGGAAAGCUUGAGUCCGGGAGAGGUGAGUGGAACUGCGAGUGUAGAGGUGAAAUUCGUAGAUAUUCGCAAGAACACCAGUGGCGAAGGCGGCUCACUGGCCCGGUACUGACGCUG